CUGAUAAUGACGUUACGUUUCAAAGAGAGGAAAGGGGGAGAAAAAUCAUAAAGAGCCCAAACAAAACAGCCCGCUCUGUCCUCCUGCCACCUCCAGCUCAGCCCCAAGGAAAACUUAUUGGCCUGGCUGAGGGGGAGCUGGUGCGGGCCGGAGCCCGACGCUGACCAUUCUGUGAUAGACAAAGAGAUCCCAGCCCGGAGCGGGCUCUGUUCCACCGCGACUCUCCUCCAAGCUCAUUUCACUCCCUAAAUCUGCGCUGCGGACAUAUAGGGGCACAGGAUCUGCAUAAUUACAGCCACAGCCGCUCCCCUUUUUAAUAAAGCGACAUAAUUCUCUAAUAAACGUCCCCUUUCCCCCCACCUCCUCCUCUCCCCAGACCCCAGCCCAAGGGAAAGGGGAUCCGUGUCUUUUGACUGCGUUCCCUAAGUCUAUAGAUGAGCUCAGUUUGAAACGAGGUAUUACAAGAUUGCAGCGUUACAGACCCUUUAUCUGAGGCACAGACACUUUCAGAUCCCCAGCCCCCACCGCCUCUCCUUUUUGUUGUCUCUUCUCCUCCCGGGGGCUAUUUGACAAAGGCACUGUGUUAACUAACAUUUUUGUUUAACUCAGCAACUUCUUUUCAAAACAUACUUAAACCUGAUAGCAAUCUCUUGUACUUUUUUUUUUUUUAUUUCUUUUCCUUCCCCGAGAUGAAAUUGACUCUGAACCCAAGGCGUUUGGCUCUUAUUAAUUAUUUCUUUCUUUGCAGGUAUCAGUCAUACAAAUCUAUUGUUAAUGCCCUCCCCCCCCCCCCCCCCCAAACACAUUCCGGUACACUCAAUAAGGGCUGGGGGGGUGAGGGGGGGAGGGGUGAAGGGGGGGUUGGAGGGAGGUCAGAGGAAAAGCGACCCCAAAUCCCCUCUCCGAUUCCUAGAAAGUUUUGUUCGCAAAAGAAAUAAACUAGCAACAAUACACCGCGGUACGAUCCUGCCCCCGCUACCCCACGUUUGGCAUUCACCUCCCGCAAGUGCACCCAACGAGCGGUCACCUAAGACAAAAAAUCACACCCGAGCACAGCACAGACACCUCCAUAACAUUCUGAGCUAAACAGUGCCGGUCCCGUUUGCCUUUUUUUUCUUUUUCUUUUUUUUUUUCUUGCUGCUGUUGUUAUUUUGGCUGGAGCCGCACAAAACGCGCACCCGGACGUUACUAUAAAUAAAAGCCUCCCAGGUCUGAGCCUGCUGCCGGCGCUUCCUCCGCAGCCUUAACAGCCCUUUUUCAGCUCCUUUCUUGGGCAGAUCGCGGGGAUUAAAUGCCCUGAACCUGAGCUCCUGGCCUUGGAUGGGAAGGGAAAGAAAAAGGGAGAGGGAGAGAGAGAAAGGAGCGGGUGAAGGAGCCAGGCGCCCUCUGGGCUUUCAGAGGUCAGCGCUUUGACAGCGUUCUGACCUCCCUCCCCUCCCGGCAACCACCCCAGUGUUUAUAAACAAAAACAGUCAGGACUGGCCCCAAACAAUAGCAAUUCACCAACUUCACAGGCACUUCUCUCGCUCUUAUGCAAAUCGAGGAAAACGACCGCUUACCGCCGCGCUCCCCCCCAUCCCCUUCAGAAAGCCCAAGAGCAUAUUUCCAGCGGUGAUAUAUCCAAGGGAAAAAUUUUACAGUCUCUCCUGGAAAAGGACAAAAAGGGACUUCAGAAAGCAAACGGUUCGGGUAGAAAGGCAGACAAAAAGCGAGAAAAAAGCCAAUAAAACUGCCGAUCUUACUGCAGAAAGAGGAAAGUUAUGAAAUAUUUAUAUCUAAAUCCAACAAUCCACCCUGCCAAUAAAGCAGGAAUCUUUGUUGUGCAGACAAUAUGCUAAACUACCUCUGCGACAAACAGCGAUUAUAAAGCAACCAGCAAAAGUUAUUUUCGCCCAAGGAGCCAAGUUUUCAAAGAAAACGUGUGGAUUUUACAGCUAAAUAAAAGCCACCACCUCUGUGUUAUCCGUAAAAACUACACAUAAAUUAAAAGCACCGUUAAAAGAAAAGAAAUCCUUCCAGCCAGCAAGCAGCACAUCUGAUCUGACUUACAAAAAAAAAAAAAAAAAAAAAGUAUAAUUAAAACCACCUUUAAUUACAAAAAGCAGCGAGCGAAAGCUAAAUGAAUCAAUGCCUUCUCCCCAAAAUGUUGUCCGCCAAGGUACAGCACUGACAGUCCUAUAGUCCUGCAUUAAAGCGUAACUGAAACUCUACAGUUCAGGAAUUGAUUACGCGAUAAGGAAGGAAAAAAAAAAAAAAAAGCAAAAGAAAGGGAAAAAAAAAAAGUCCUAAUGAUUUUCAAACUUUUGUUUAAAAAUGAUGAAGAUCAGAAAAGGUUGGAGGAAAAGUUAAAGGAAAUAUACCUCAAGAGAAAAAAGACCAUCUCCUUUUCUUCUUUGUCUAUCAGUCUCCAGUUAAAGCAUAUGGAAAAUGUUUUCAAAAUGCCUAGAUUUGGCACAUUGUCAUUGCAAAGAGAGGAGCGCAGUGAUGCUGUUAUAGAAAAUGGGAAAUAAAUUCAGGAUUGGGUGCUGCCUCCUUCAAUGCGGAUUUAUCUAAGUUUAAUUUAAUAUUCCGCAAUCACUGUAUGAUCGCAUAUAAUUCACCAAGAUUUUUAAGGGCUUUGCCUAAAUACGCUGACCACAGGCACAAAGUAAUUUAUACAGAUGAUUUCCUCCUUUUAUUCGCGUUUAUUUUUCUCAUUAGAAACACUUUAAAUUGCAACUGUAAAUAAUAGAAAUGAAGGAAUAUUAGGUUUGGGGUGAACAGACGCCCAGAGAAGGAUAUGGAAAAAAUGAAGGCACUGAUACUGGUCAUUGGUAUUUCUGAGAAUAUUGGAUGUUUUAGAACAAAAAAUAUAUUCAACAACACUUGAAGAUUAAGAAAAUAUUAGAUGCGAAUAAGGUAUAGAGUCCUAAAUAAAAAUGUGCCUGAUCCAAAUAGGAAGCAAUAUGCAGGAUAACUUAAAGAAAAAAAGAAAAAGUGAACUCACUGUAUUGCUGGUCACUUCCAUGUGGGAAUAAACCGUUCAACAUGGAGUAGUAUAGGUACCUUUUUAAUGCUGAAAUGGGCAUGCUAAUUGUGAACUAUGCGGUCAGAAGCUCCUUCUAAAAUAUUCAGUAACUUAUUUACUGGAAUUUAACAAGCUGUGUACUUCAAAGCUUCUUUCACCUCUAAUUAAGUGCAUAAACUCUGUGAAUCGUAUUGGCAACUUGAGAUUUGGCACAGCAGCAGCAGUGCUGAAGCAGCCCCCACCGCUAGGAAAGGUACAAACACAGGCAAGUGACCUGUGAUGGGCUGAGAGACCUCGCUUACCAGGAUUUGCUCACGGUUAUGCUUCUGGCAACUGACAUUUCCAUUUUACUCAAAGCUUCUACCUUUGUGUCAUCAGACAAAGCCCCAUGAGUGGUGGCAGAGCAAACUGUAGCCUUCAUUCUCAAGUUUGAAGAGGAAAAGUUAUUUACAUGCCUAAAUCGCAGAACAUGAUGUUCAAAGGUCACUUUCUGUUACUCAUUGUUAUAAACCACUAAGUUUUCCAAAAGCUCUAUAAGGAAAAGGCACAUAGUUUGGGCAGAAACAUGUAAUUGGUUGUUUUCUUCUUUUAUUUUCUUUUCUUAUUGUAUGAUCUGAUUUUUGUACUACCAGAGGAAUGUCGAAGAUGAGAUGUUUCUGUCGUUCCGUACCAUGAACAAUUGCUUAAAGGGACCAUCAGAGACUGCAAGACAAAUCUAUGACCCUCCUUAAGAUUUUUAUGUUCUGAAGAGGAAUGACUUUUAAUUGGUUAGGAUUUUAGAGUUUAUGAUGUAAGGAAAAGUACUGAUUCCUGUAAUGACUGAUCCUUUACUGUUUUUAUUAGACUUUCAACUGAGCAUUUCUUAAACUUUCUUCUUAUGAAUUUAGACAAAUAUUUAAUUGUUUUAUUGCUGUAAUGCCAUUUCCCCCCACCCCAUUUUAGACAUAUUUUCCUGAAUGUGAGCCUGAAUUUAGUGACAAGCAGUCUGAUUUCCAGAAAUGUAUUGUUAUCAGUAAAAGUACUCCAUACCAAAAUGUGUGAAUGGAGAUGUUAAGAGAAAGCACAAAUAAUGCCUUUAUUCAUUACGAGAUGAAGCCCUGAGAAGUCAAGGUUAUUUAAUGGAAAUGAAUAAAUGCAGCUUGAAAUAUCUUUAUUUUCCAAACUGCAAGAGCAACUCAAACAAUAAGGAUAGCAUAUAAAGAAACAAACAACAAAGUCAGUUGAUUUCCUUAAAAAAUAUUUGGAACUUAAAAAAAAAAAAGAGGGAAAGCCGUCAUUUGACAUGGUGAUUAGGGUAGACUGAAGGACUCGGCUCAGAGGCUGCUUAUGCUGCUAUUGCACAGCAAAACUGUGUAGGGCAUUUAAUCUCUCUUAGUUUUCCUGUUUGUAAGUAACAAGCUGAUAAUGCUCACUUCAGUCUAGUGUUGUGCAAUAUUCAGAUGUUUCACAAUACAAUAGAAAAGUGUGUCACAGUGUACUUAAAAGUUGCCUGUUAAACUUCAUGUUUUUGAGAUGAAAGAAAAUUUCUGCUAUGCAUCUUGAAAGAGCUCAUUCCUUAAGGUGGUGGUGGCAGCUUUAAGCUUUUCUGAGAUAUAUUUUAUUUUUGUUUGUUUUUUUAACUGCUUAAUGGGCUAAUUUUUGGUAUCAUCUCUGGAAUAUGUAUGUCUCCUAUGACUGAAAGGAAGGAUGGUUGAUGCAAAUGAAAAAAGUCUCUUUUAGGAGAUCCUGUGAUCAGUAGAAUUCUGUCACCAUCACAAAAACAUACUUAGCAUGGCAUAUAUUUCUCAUUUCAGCUAAUAAACCUAACAUCUUUGUCUGGACAACAUCUCAAGCCUCUUUGCUAAAUGAUAUUACUGGAAGACUCCUUAUCAUUAAAGGAAUUGAGAUGGAGUCAGAUAAUAUGUAAAUUACAUAGCUUUUUCCCAUAAAUAAGCAAAUUGAUGUUUCCCAGUGUAGUAAAACACUUCUUAUUGGUACUGAUAAUACCACAGUCUUGAAGAGGUUAUCUAAAAAAGAUAAACUGAGAAAAAUUGGAUGCAACAUAUUUUCAAGUGGACAUCUACAUAAAUGUCUUCAGAUCAGGACUGUGUUUCUGAAGUUACUCUCCUGAUUAUCUCCACUUACUGUGCUAUGUUUAACACAGUGUUAAUGUCUUCUCAUGGGCAAGAACUAGCUUUCUUUUGGAGAACACUAAGCUGAGAUAUAUUGUCUGGAUACUGACGUCAGUACUCCAUUCUCAAACAGAUAUUAGGUUCAUGGAACCAUAUGAAGUGAUCCUGAAGUGAGGGCAGUAGGACUUCAACACUAAUUCUAAAGAGCCUGGUCAUAUUCUGUUUGUUACACUACUUGUUAUUCCUAAACACAUUUCUCAGAUCUGUAGGAAAUGGUCAUGGGCUCUUUCUGAGAAAGGCUUGAGCAGAGGUAGAUACCACCAAGCUAGAGUUAUUUAGAAAGAAACAAUUCUUUCCCCUUGGUUUGUACUUGAGCAACAAGGACAGUGCCCAGAAUAUUUUGCAUUGUAUUUCUAGCAUAACCUAAAUUUUUCUUCCGCAAUAUGGGCAUAUUAGCCACCCACAUUUCAAUUAUCUGGGACUACAGGUACAAUAGCUUAUUUGCUGUAGAUUGUCUCAUAUUCUAUAAAUAGAGAAAGAGAAUAUUUCUUGACAGAACAAGACAAAACUUGGAUCACUGUGAAUCUCCUCUCAAUAAUUUGGAUGACUGCACAUUUUGUACUGCAUGUAAGGAUAUCAGCAGGGAAUUAGUGAAAGUUGUACAAAACCUAUAUAAAACUAAAAGUUAUCUCUACAGAAAAUAUUGGAAAUACUAUUGAUGACUACUCUCAAAAUGGGCCCAUAGUAGUGCAGUUAUUUUUUCUCUUGAGUAUUCUAAGCCAUGCCCUAGGUUUGCCUAUAGCUUUAUGUUCUUGCUGUGGAGCCCUGAAAGGUUUUCCGGCAUUGAACAGUAGUCAGAGUCUAUGACAUGAGAGAUAUUAAAAAUAAUAAUAAUAAUAAAUCAUUUGUGCCUGAAACUUCCAGCAUUUAGGGUAGGAGAGGCAACUAAUCAAAGACAGAACCAAAAUGGUUUAUAAGAACAUCCAAAUUAGGAAUGCAGAAUUUUACUUUUGAGAUCAUCUGCAAAAUGACAAAGAUGUCCUUUACCUGCAUCAUUACCAGUAUUAAGCACCAGCUCACAGCUGAAGUACAUGUCAUAUCACUGAUACAUGCUUGUCAGAUGCCAUCGAAUAUAUUGAAUCUUACAGAAAAAAAAUGCAAAACUAUUAUAUGAUAACUGUAUUAUUAUAUGAUACAAAAGUAUGUGUUAGGAUUGCUGGUAUUGUAAAGAUUAAAUGAGAGAGUAAUCCAUUAACAUAACCUUUCAUGUAUCAUCUACCUUUAUUUAAAUCCAGAGUGGUUUAAGUUCUUAAGGGGGCAUCUUUUGGACUCAUUCAUUAAUGGUGAAAAUGACUAAUUUGUGUAUAGUCUAAUCAUGUUACUAUUUCAAGUUACUUUAAUUGCAGCACUUAGUAAGUUCGUGAAGCAGAAUUUCAUUCCAUCUGGUGAUUACUUAUUUACUUACAUUAAUCAUACAGUCAGAAAACAAGGAAUUAAAAAAAAAAAAAAGGAGCUACUGAAAACUUGAUUGAUCAUACUGGAGAAAUUAAUGUUAAUAAAUGUGUCCAUAUGGAACUUGAAAAUUUCAACACCCUUCAAGAAAUUAAUGUAGAAAACAAACAGGGAACUGCAAAUGCUGUGAUUUCCCUAAGAAACUUAAUUUUCCUACUAUUUGAACUAGCUAAUAUAUCAAAAGUAGACAAAUAUAAAAAAUAGCUAUUGAAGCUAUUUACAUUUUAUUAUUUUUUCAAUUCUUGUAUUGUAUAUACUUACUGAGUUUGCUUUCACUCUGCUGUGAAUCUCUGAGACAAGCUAGAUACUUGUGGGGACCUAUUAUGUUAGCUUAGGGAUAAAAACAGUGCUCCCACUUGGUCAUAUUAGGUCCUUCAGUAAACUAUUUUCAGGCUUGAACAGGUGCAUGACUGACCUGAGGAAGAGGUACGUUAAACAUUUUAGAAGUCUGUUACUUUCCAAGUCAUUAGUCCUAUUCUUCUGACGUCUCUAAAAUGCCCUAAAGCAAUCUACAGAUCAUUACCCUCUAACAGAUGACUUUUAGAAUUCUAUUCUCCAUCCACAACAAUUAUACAGAUGGACCUCUAUGUAGUGUAGUAUGACCAUCCUUGUCUGCUGUUUCAAACGUGGAAGCCAUUUUGUAUUCUUUAUAACUUGGUUGGUUGCUAAUAUAUCAAAAUCCAUAGUGAUUUAUACUGGCACAAAGUAUCUGUUUACAUCACAAGCAGCAGUUUUGCUGUACUGUUAUGGACGUUUAGACUACACAAAACAACAGGUUGCAAUGCUGUGCUUUCAGAGCUGCAGUGGUAUGUGAGUGGGCACAUGUGCACAGCAGAUCACUAGUUAUUGCAGCACAGGCAGCCUCUGCUUCUGCUAUAUAUUUUCACAACUGAUAGGCUUUUUUUUUUUUUUUUUUUUUUGUUUGGAGGUUGUCAUAUGGUAUAACACUUUUACUAGUUGACUCCUCCUACUUUUCUUCAAACCACAUCCUGAUUUUUGGCCUCAGAAACCAAACAUAUGCACAGCUUGCAGAACAACACAUGAUAUUGUUUCUGUAUAACAUCAUACCAGCUGGGAUAUAAAUUCUUACAGACAAUUUUAUGCGAAUGAAAAAUACCUACAUUAAGACAUUUUCCAUAGCUAUGCAAUAUAUACCACAGUAGAGCAUAUGGUCUACAGUCAGAGAUCCUCACUUAUAACUAUAACAAAAGCCCCAAGUCAGCCUCAGAUCUUCAGACAGUGUAAUUUUUAAUAGAUCAUUCUAAUUUCUUUCUAUUUUUUUCAUACUUCUUCUAUUGUGUUUUGGAUUUCUGGAAUCUAACAUCAGCUAUUUUGCUGUAUCGUUGAAGACCCUUAAUCUUUUUGAUUUAUCCAGUGUGGAGCACCAUAAAGCUAUUAUUUAACUAAAAAGCAACAAAUAUUUGGUGAAACUCUAAGUUGUAUCAUAAUCUGAAGAUAUAUCAAUAGCAAGAACUUAGAAUUUGUAGGAAAUAUAUUUCAACAUUUAUUUUCACUAUUAGAAAACUGUUCUAUAUCUGAUUUGUCAGUUUUCCCCAGAUUUUUUUUUUGUGGGUGGAGUACUUAUUUUAUUCUCCUUUCAUGAUAAAUAAGAUUUGGAUAUAAAUAUUUAUCACAUGACCUACAAACUUUAACCAAGUCACUCCCAAUACUCUUUUUCGAUAAUCAGUUAAUCACAGUAAAUAAUUUUCUCCUGCUCUCCAGUUAUGCAACUUUUUAUUUCCUUCUACCGUAUCUGUUAAAAUAUGGACAGCAGAACUAUGGGAAAUAUUCCAACAGUUUCAUCAGGAUUGAAAGAUCACAUUAGCUCUGUUCAUGCAGUUUUGCAGUAGGUACUCAUGUUGAAUUGCUAGUCCACUAUGGCCCAUAAAUUCAUGCAGAGCUGAUGCAUUUUGAGGCAAUAUACCAUUGUUUUGAGGGGUGGAAUUCUUUUGUAUUGAUGCAUAAGCUUGUAUUCAUCUCUUCUAAAAUGCUCUUUAAUUUUUUUUAAAUUAUUAUUAUUUUUAAUGUUCCUAACUUGCCAAGAGAUCUCUUCUUUCCUGAGAUCAUCAUUAUGUACUACUCACGUGCCUUUCAUCCUUAACACGGUAAUUUCUAUAUGCACCUCCAAUGAGGUGACCUCAGAGCUCAAAAUAUUCUCAGCUUCAGAGCUGAGAAUACUGAGCAGCACUGGGCCUAGAGCUGAUCCCCGAUGAAUAACAUUAAAAAGAGUCAAUAACAAUUCUCAUUUUAAGGUAUAUUUUGAUCACCUGUUGACCAACUUUUAAUGAAUUGAAAUUAUGAAUAUUAAUGCAAUGUAGUAGAUUCUUUUUCUUAAUAAAAAUAUCAUAAAAUAAA
ensembl:lncRNA